AGUGUUUGGGGGCGGGUCCAAUCAAUUGCGCGAUCAGUGAGCAGAUUGCAUUGGUUACAAGAGGGACCUGCUGACGCAGUGAGCAGUUCUUCAGCGCAGCGCGGUUAGCUGUGAGGGGUAGGCAGGACGCUCCCUCUGCUCCACGGUCAUCGAGUGCUGCUUAGAUACUGCUGUCGGUGGUCGAUAACAGAGCCUGGUGGCAGCAAAAGACAGGGGGGGGGGCAGGAGACGGAAAGUCAUACGCUUUGCUGGCCGUGGUGAAACAAGUUUGGGCCGGUCUGGGCGUUCAGGUCCAUAUCUCCCCUGUCAACCAAAUGUUACCGCCAAUCAACCCACAAAAUUAAACACUGGCCAUGCGCCAGUCAAAGGUAGGAAUGUUGGGGCUCGAAGGCGACAGCAGCGGAGCUGAACUAGCGGGGGACCCUCGGUGUUAGGGUACGUGGAGGUCACUGCUGCGCUUGCAUGUGCUUUGCCUUGCUAAUACUGCAUAUAAUUAUCAGUUCCUAGAAGCAGGCUGGAAGCCUCCCUGUAGGCGUUAUACAGCACACGGUACGACGCGAGCAAUUCUCGGUUUUGCACUAUCCGCGCAGUGAUCUGCGCGCUGCAUUUGUCUUGAGUUAGUGCACCUGUUGCCCGUAGCGACUCAAAACCCAAGAAUGCUCGCUUCUCGCAACAUGCGCGCCAGCGGCGCCCGUGUGGCCGCGGCUCCCGCCCAGCGCGCCAUCCUGGCUGGUAGGCAGGUCUAAAAUGCAAUUGAGCUCACCAGCGCGGCCUGCGGCGUCGGAUAGGGUCCUCAAGUCCGCUCUUGCUUGCUCGCUUGCAGCUCGCUCCGGCCGCCGCGCCUCGGUCGCCGCUAAGGCCCAGAAGAAGGAGA
rnacentral:lncRNA from 1 species